CAGACAUUGCUCUCAGUGCUUUGCAUAUAUUAGCUCACUGAAUCUUCACAACGAUGUUGAGAAGUUCCCAUUAUUAUUUCUGUUCUUACAAAUGUGAAACGGAAGCUCAUAGAGGUGAGAAAACUUGACCAGAGUCACCCAGCUGGUGAGUGGGAAAGUUAGGAUUCAGAUCGAAAUUGGACUGUCUUUAUAACCCAUAUUUUCCCCGUUUUUAGAGCUUCCAAAUGUGUCAGAAUAGGAAAACAUUGCAAUAAGUGGCUUGAUUUUUCAAUGUCAUUUUUCCCUCUUAUAGUCUUUGUAGCUCCUUUUCAAAAGACAAGAAUAUCUGAUUUUCUGAUAAUUUAGGUACUUAAGCAUCCAAAAUACAUGGGACACACAAAAAUCCAAGAAUUCCCUAUAGCUUAUCCCCUCUUUCCCAUCAGAACCAGCUCUCAUCACGCAUUUAAAAGAUGAUUCUGUUUACCCAAUGCUGCAUAUUGAAUGUUGUGUAGUUAUUCACAGGGAAUUCUGUGCAGUGUGCAGAGAGAUUCCUAAACAGGAAAAGGACUGGGAAUACAUCCUCCUUACUGUGACCUCCCCAAAACCUAGUCCAGUGCAAGGUAUACAGUGGUGCUCAUUAAAUACUUGAUGAAUACAGGAA
rnacentral:sRNA from 1 species